rnacentral:rRNA from 1 species
GAUGAACGCUGGCGGCGUGCCUAAUACAUGCCAGUCGAGCGAACAGACGAGGAGCUUGCUCCUCUGACGUUAGCGGCGGACGGGUGAGUAACACGUGGAUAACCUACCUAUAAGACUGGGAUAACUUCGGGAAACCGGAGCUAAUACCGGAUAAUAUAUUGAACCGCAUGGUUCAAUAGUGAAAGACGGUUUUGCUGUCACUUAUAGAUGGAUCCGCGCCGCAUUAGCUAGUUGGUAAGGUAACGGCUUACCAAGGCAACGACGCGUAGCCGACCUGAGAGGGUGAUCGGCCACACUGGAACUGAGACACGGUCCAGACUCCUACGGGAGGCAGCAGUAGGGAAUCUUCCGCAAUGGGCGAAAGCCUGACGGAGCAACGCCGCGUGAGUGAUGAAGGUCUUCGGAUCGUAAAACUCUGUUAUUAGGGAAGAACAAAUGUGUAAGUAACUAUGCACGUCUUGACGGUACCUAAUCAGAAAGCCACGGCUAACUACGUG